AUUGAACGCUGGCGGCAUGCCUUACACAUGCAAGUCGAACGGCAGCACGGGCUUCGGUCUGGUGGCGAGUGGCGAACGGGUGAGUAAAGUAUCGGAACGUACCUUUCAGUGGGGGAUAACGUAGCGAAAGUUACGCUAAUACCGCAUAUUCUGUGAGCAGGAAAGCAGGGGAUCGCAAGACCUUGCGCUGAAUGAGCGGCCGAUAUCAGAUUAGCUAGUUGGGGGGGUAAAGGCCUACCAAGGCGACGAUCUGUAGCGGGUCUGAGAGGAUGGUCCGCCACACUGGAACUGAGCCACGGUCCAGACUCCUACGGGAGGCAGCAGUGGGGAAUUUUGGACAAUGGGGGCAACCCUGAUCCAGCCAUGCCGCGUGAGUGAAGAAGGCCUUCGGUUUGUAAAGCGCUUUCGGCCGGGAAGAAAUCGCAUGGGCUAAUACCCUGUGUGGAUGACGGUACCGGAAUAAGAAGCACCGGCUAACUACGUGCCAGCAGCCGCAGUAACAC
rnacentral:rRNA from 1 species